GGAAGUGGUGUGGCUCAGUGGUGGAGCGUCUGCUUUGCGUGCAGAAGGUCCCAGGUUCAAUCUCCAGCAUCUCCA
rnacentral:tRNA from 1 species